rnacentral:misc_RNA from 1 species
AAGUCGUAACAAGGUUUCCGUAGGUGAACCUGCGGAAGGAUCAUUAAAAAAGUUAACUCAUCGUUAUGAGUCUUAACUCAUAUCAACCUUGUGUGCACCUUAAAUUGUAUCUGGCAGGUUUAAAGGCUUUCUUUAAGGUUUUUUUUUGGGGGGUUGAUAAGGAGUUAGGUUAGGUGUUUAGUUUGAGAUCUUUUAAGAUCUCUGGGCUUAAACUUCUUGACCAAAACUUGUUAACCCCUUGAAAUGCCUUAAAGGAUGUUCCCUGCCAAAAGUUAAACCUUAGAUUAAUUUGUUAAAGUUAUAAGUUAAGCGUUAAAAUGUUUAAUAAAUAACAACUUUUGACAACGGAUCUCUUGGCUCUC